rnacentral:rRNA from 1 species
UACGGGGGGGGCAAGCGUUGUUCGGAAUUACUGGGCGUAAAGGGUUCGUAGGUGGCUUGCUAAGUCAGACGUGAAAUCCCUCAGCUUAACUGGGGAACUGCGUCUGAGACUGGCAAGCUCGAGUGCAGGAGAGGAACGCAGAAUUCCAGGUGUAGCGGUGAAAUGCGUAGAUAUCUGGAGGAAUACCGGUGGCGAAGGCGGCGUUCUGGACUGCAACUGACACUGAGUGAACGAAAGCCAGGGGAGCAAACGGG